rfam:Gossypium hirsutum cultivar TM-1 chromosome 16, whole genome shotgun sequence
UGUUAAAAAUUUCGUCCCUUUCUACUAUUAAAAACUAAUGUGGUUGACAAAAUAACCAAACAAUUACAUAUACAUCAUUCUGAUGUAUAUAGACCAGUUUUUAAUAAUAGAAAUGGAUGGGAUUUUUAAUA